rnacentral:rRNA from 1 species
AAACGACUCUCGGCAACGGAUAUCCCGGCUCUCGCAUCGAUGAAGAACGUAGCGAAAUGCGAUACUUGGUGUGAAUUGCAGAAUCCCGUGAACCAUCGAGUCUUUGAACGCAAGUUGCGCCCGAGGUCACUAGGCUAAGGGCACGUCUGCCUGGGUGUCACGC